AGCUAGUAGCAUAAUGGUUAGAGCUGCUGCUGUUGGACCUGUAGGUUGUAGGGUCAAAUCCUGCCUACAGCUG
rnacentral:tRNA from 1 species